GCGGGUAUGGUAUAGUGGCUAUUACACCAGCUUGCCAUGCUGGAGAGACGGGUUCGAUUCCCGUUACCCGCU
rnacentral:tRNA from 1 species